UACGAGGGGGGCAAAUGUUGUUCGGAAUCACUGGGCGUAAAGGGAGCGUAGGCGGGUUCUUAAGUAGGUGUUUAAUCCCGGGGCCCAACCCCGGACCGGCACUUAAACUGGGAAUCUUGAAUAGUGGAGAGGUCGUGAAUUGGGAUGGGUGAGCGGUGGAAUGCGUAGAGAUCCCCAAGAACACCAGUUGCGAAGGCGGCGACUGGACACAUAUUGACGCUGAGGCUCGAAAGCAUGGGGAGCAAACAGGGAUUAGA
rnacentral:rRNA from 1 species